UACGAAGGGGGCUAGCGUUGCUCGGAAUCACUGGGCGUAAAGCGCACGUAGGCGGAUUCUUAAGUCGGAGGUGAAAUCCUGGAGCUUAACUCCAGAACUGCCCCCGAUACUGGGAGUCUUGAGUUCGAGAGAGGUGAGUGGAACUGCGAGUGUAGAGGUGAAAUUCGUAGAUAUUCGCAAGAACACCAGUGGCGAAGGCGGCUCACUGGCCCGAUACUGACGCUGAGGCACGAAAGCGUGGGGAGCAAACAGG
rnacentral:rRNA from 1 species